AGUGAAUGUAUGCUGCUUAUGUACAAUGGAACCUAAUCCAAGGAGAUGAAUCUGAUGAGCCAACAACAGCUGAGAAAGAAACCUGGAUAAUUAUUUACCUCCCUACUUUAUCCUUUUAAUCGGUUAUUAACAACUAUCUGCCUGUCUCCUUAACUCCCUCUCUCUCUCCUCUCUCUACCUCUCUCUCUCUCUCUCUCUCUCUCUCUCUCUCUCUCUGUCUAUCUACCUACCUGUCUAUUAAACUAUAUAUCUAUCUAUGUGACUGAUCUAUGAUAAGAAAAGGCAGAUAUAGAGAGAGUGAUCAGACAGACAAAUAGAGAGAGAGAGAGAGGGAGUGAGAGAGAGAUAUAUACACACAGAUAGAUACAGAGAGAGAGACUAAGUGUCGAGCAAACAGACAGGCAUACAGACAAACAAGGAGUUGUCAUAUACGGAAAGAGACACGGAGAGAGAAAGAGAAAGAGAGAGAAUAGUGAAGCUGACAAAGACAGAAAGACACUGAGAAAGACAGAGGGAGAGAGAGAGAGAAAGUCGUCAGAGACGCACACAAAAAAGAGAGGGAGACGAAAAAAAAGGGAGAUAAAAAAUAUCAUGGCUUUGUCGUAAAAAAUUUAAAAGGUGGGGAAGUUUGAAACAAGGAGAGAAAUGGAUAAAUACAAAAACGAAAGGCUGCCUCAACAGAGGUUACCAUCUGUUACACAAAUACAAGCAAUAGUUCCUGAGUUAUUACAGGAAGAAAGGCUGUCGUCUGUCAUUUACUAACAGCAGACGAUAAUUACCACCAUUUCUUAAUAUUUGAUGAUCAGCAAGGCAACAGUUACGACAUGAUCUCUUAAAAAGCACAUAAAAACGACGACGUCAAACGUUCUUUAUUUUCUGUUUAUUUUUGUUCCACAAUUCUUUUUAAUUAUUUUUCUUUAAUUUGAAUUCAAAGUCUUUGAAACAUUUCUUCAUACUUUAACUUCGUUAAUUAACUUUUUGUUCAACUUUUGUUGGCAUUUCAUUUCAAUCUUCAUUUAUUUAUUUCCUUAAGUAUAUUUUAUUCGUUUAACGCCAUCAUUGUUUGACGUUUAUAUAUAUAUCUACAUAUAUAUAUAUAUAAAAUAUAUAUAUAUAUAUGUUUAUAUAUAUUCAUACAUUCUUUAUUUUACACUUUUACUAGUUUUAACCAGUGGAUUAUGUUCUGGACGUGUUGGGAUAUUUAUACGUUUAACUACUUCGGUUGGAAUUUAUCGCUUUAAAAUAUAUAUUUCUUGAAAAAAAAAAAAAUUUCACAUUGGUCCUCGCUACCAUAUUUAUUUACUUACCCAGUACCUGUGUUCAACAACCACGCUCUCUGUCGGAUUUGUCGGAUUUACUACAGACUCAUCAGUGCAAUAUAUGAACAUAUCAACAAGUUGACCAGCACAUUUUAACGGAGACCAAUACUUUUGUUCUACUGCUUAAAUUAUACUGUUCAACUAAACACGUUUUCACGCUUACACACACACACACACAUAUACGUGCGUAAUAGAUGCAAAUAUACAUACAUAUGCCAUA